CCUACGGGUGGCAGCAGUGGGGAAUAUUGGACAAUGGGGGAAACCCUGAUCCAGCGACGCCGCGUGAGUGAAGAAGUAUUUCGGUACGUAAAGCUCUAUCAGCAGGAAAGAAAAUGACGGUACCUGACUCAGAAGCCCCGGCCAAUUACGUGCCAGCAGCCGCGCGAAGACGGAGGGGGCAAGCGUUAUCCGGAUGUACUGGGGGUAAAGGGAGAGUAGAGGGGGGGGCAAGUCAGGAGGGAAAGGCUGGGGCCCAACCGGAAAAGUGCACUGGAGACUGUGAAGCUGGAGGACAGUGGAGGUAGGCGGAAGUAGGGGUGGAGCGGUGAAAGGAUUAGAUAUGAGGAAGAAGACCGAGGGAGAAGGCAGCUUACGAAACUGACACUGACAUGGAGGCUCGA
rnacentral:rRNA from 1 species